GAAACAUUGGUACCGAUAAUAAUGUUCAUCGGUUUACUGAUAAUACAGGUUUAAUAAAAGUUAUAAUUCCGCAUUUAUUCUCGAGUCCCCCCUUUUAUCUUUUCAUUCUGAACUUUGACCGUGUAUGUCACGUGACUUUAGCGUAUUGUGACGUUACUUCCAAAUUUUCUAACGUUUGAACGGGAAGCUUAUUCAAUCCCACCCACCUACUCCGACAAUC
rnacentral:lncRNA from 1 species